AUUGAACGCUGGCGGCAGGCCUAACACAUGCAAGUCGAGCGGAUGAAGGGAGCUUGCUCCUGGAUUCAGCGGCGGACGGGUGAGUAAUGCCUAGGAAUCUGCCUGGUAGUGGGGGAUAACGUCCGGAAACGGGCGCUAAUACCGCAUACGUCCUGAGGAAAAAAGGGGGGAUCCUCGGGACUCACGCUAUUAGGAGAACCCAGGUCGGAUUAGCUAGUUGGUGGGGUAAAGGGCUACCAAGGCGACGAUCCGUAACUGGUCUGAGAGGAAGAUCAGUCACACUGGAACUGAGACACGGUCCAGACUCCUACGGGAGGCAGCAGUGGGGAAUAUUGGACAAUGGGCGAAAGCCUGAUCCAGCCAUGCCGCGUGUGUGAAGAAGGUCUUCGGAUUGUAAAGCACUUUAAGUUGGGAGGAAGGGCAGUAAGUUAAUACCUUGCUGUUUUGACGUUACCAACAGAAUAAGCACCGGCUAACCUCGUG
rnacentral:rRNA from 1 species